rnacentral:RNase_P_RNA from 1 species
GAAGCGGGCUAGGCCGCCGCUGGCACAAGGACCGAAAGGUCGUGCUGGAGGAAGGUCCGGACUGCGCAGGGCGGCGUAGCAGCUAACGGCUGUCCACCGUGAGGUGAGGAUCAGAGCAACAGAGACGAGUCGGUCGUCGGGCCCCGAAGGCGGCGCAAGCCGCCUUCAAAGGCUUCCCGAGAAGGGCGCAUGUUCCGCAUGCGGGCGGGCCGGAUGCCGCAAGGCGGACGGCGGGAUUCGAGGCGCAGCCUCGAAGACCGGGUGAAACGGGCAAUCUCUACGCGCAGCAAUACCAAAUAGGCACACGAUGACCUGGCCCGGGGAGUGUGCGGGUAGGUAGCACCGAGCCGUGCGGGCGACCCACGGCCCAGAUGAAUGGCGGUCACGGCCGCAAAGCCGCAAGGCGAUGCAGCCGCACAGAAUCCGGCCUAUCGGUCCGCUUCACAC